UCCGGGGUGACCCGGAAUCUGAAGGAAGCCGAAGGCAAAACCCCGGCCCGACGAACAGAAAUCGCAUAUGAGGCAGCCACAUCCGGGCGAGAAGGCAACUAUCUUCAAAGCCCGAUAACCAUCCAGGAGGGUGCGGCUGUAGAUGCGGCGGGUGUAUGGGGUGAAGGUCACGCGC
rfam:Geobacter sp. M18, complete genome.